rnacentral:lncRNA from 1 species
GACAGAAAUUUGAGUAAUCAAGAAUUCACUGAGGAGGAUGGAGCCUCCACUACUGUAGAGCUGAGAUGCUCCAGUGACAGUAACCCUGGUGCCCACAGCUACCGCGGCCAGCACGACAAAGGGCCUCAGACCACCACGAGACCCACACUCACACUGGAGAUGUGACCAGACUCAAUUAAGCUCUCUUCUGCACUGCAAUCAACACAGAGGGACAAGGCCACUCCAGCCACUGAAGAUCAAAUUAGAGUUGACAGGAGUCGUAGUGACCAGCCAGUAACCAGAAUGCAGGACAUGGAUGCAUCCAAGUGUGCUUCCUCAGAUCCCUCACCAUCAAGCAGCCACCCUGUGCCUUGAUGACAGCUUCGCACACUCUUGGCAUUCUCAGAACCAGCUUCACCUGGAAUGCUUUUCCAACAGUCUUGAAGGAGUUCCCACAUAUGCUGAGCACUUGUUGGCUGCUUUUCCUUCACCCUGCG